CUGCACGAUGCCUCCCGGGCUUCUCAGAAUUAACAGUGACGCGAAAGCCCCAAUGCAUGUGCUAAAUCGUCGCCGUUCGUGUUGCAGUUUAGCCCCUUUUUUUUUCACGGCUGAUCUGUGUCAAAACAACGGCUAAAUUC